AAACUUAAAAUUUUAACACUUAGAAAAAAAACCCGACCAACCCCAAAACAGAAACCCUAACUCGUGCUCUGUGCGUCUUGACUCUAGCUCGACCUCCAUUCUCCCAAACGCGAGCUCCUCACAAACUCGAGCUUCUCCUCCUCAGUCGAAGUCGCCGCCAUUGUUACCGUCCUCGGCUUAUUCGUCAUCGACUUGGUCCAGUGAGAAGCUCACGGCCCUCCCACUAGGACGACGACGCCGCUGCUUCAAGGAGGAUGAGGACAUCAUCCAAGCCGUUCUAAACGGCGGCGUUCAGUCUUAGUGCUUCGAAUCGAAGCUCGGCGACUGGAAGAGAGCGGCGACGAUUCGGUGCUAGUGGCUUCAGAGAACGACUGGGAGGUCACUGCAGGGUUUGUAGGAUUCGAUUACGACUCCAUUAUUGGACAGUGCUGCGAGUCGCCGGUCGGGGACGAAGUAAUCUUUAUAGAGUUUAAGAAGCAACGAGUUUGUGGGUGGGUUGAAGAACUGUGAAUUUCUGGAGAAAGUGAAAUCCAGCUUGGGGUCAUCCUCUCACUCGGUUCCUUCCGCACCUGCAAUCAAUGAUGCAUGUCUCUUCUCAGCUCCUCAUCCAAGAGUGCUUCAGGAGAAACUACCUCAGUUCUCCACUCUUGUAUUCGCCCUUCAUUGAAGAUUUCAAUUCUGAAUGGAAUUAUCAUGGGAGGUGGGGCUGGUGCUUCCGUCCAUGGUAGACUCCGUGUUGCAACUGAGAAUUUGGUUUUUGCAAUGUCAGAAACAGCUCUGGGACUUUUUUUAGAUGUAUUGCCUCUUAUUAUUUCUCGAAGCUUUUUGGAUCCUUUGAGGCAGUGGGCUGAUGCUAAAAGAGAAUUGUAAGAAGAGAAAAUAAUGCCCUCACUUGUACUUGACCGCGAUCAGACCAUAAAAAAUGCCAUCAAACAGGUUGAAGAAAUGAGAAAAGAUUUGUCUAAUGCACUUCAUGCUGCUGCAUCUGUUGAGAGUAGAACUGCUGUAGCUGAGGUCCUUUUUUUUUUUUUCCCCUCAAUUCUUUUUGAAAGUUUCAAGAUUAUUUUGUCUAUUGAAUACAUCCACACAAUCACCAACCACACUUAUCUGUAGUAUUUUUCUUUCUUUAAUUCUAUUACGAUAUUGUAUUAUUUUUGCUUGGCCUUUAUUUACUCUUUAUUCACAAGAUUUUCCGGUAGUGCAUUUCAAGAUGAUUAUGACUCAAGAAAGUUUGAUUCAAUUCCCCAUAAAGGUCUACUGACACAGGAUGUUGAAAUUGACGGUGGGAGUGGAUCUGCUUCUUUGACAGAUCUGUUGAAACAUAUAUGACAAGGUUCUGAGCAAGAAGCCCCCUGCUCCUCACCGAGUUGUGCCUGAAUAUCUGUUGAAUGUAACAACUAAAGAAGCCAGCAAGAGAGUUAAGCUUGCCAACCUUGGUCGCCGUGGAUUCAAGAAAAAAUUCAAGGAAGAUAAGGACCCCCUUAAGUCUUUCAGUGCUCAGUUUAUUUCCUGGAGGCCUACACCCUAGUGAGGAAGGGUGAUCUCUUGAUUGUGAGAGGAGGAAUGAGGAGUGUCGAGUUCAAGGUUAUUGAGACUGAUCCUUCUUGAGUAUUGCGUUGUUGCUCCAAACACUGAAAUAAUUCCAAUAGGGUAUACUAAAGUGGCUACAGAUAAGAAUUCUAAAGCUGGAUCAAAUGUCUAGGCUAGCCUUUGUAAGUUUUGAGGUUUUAUUUUGUGAAUUAUGUUGAAUUAUGAAUUUGAAAAGAAAUUAAUGGAAAUCCUCAAUUUUUGGAUGA